CACUUGGAAAACCGGAAGGGAGAGGCUCUGGGAGCUCCGCAGGGCCUCUUCUCCCGGAGUCGCCAUGGGGCGACAGAGACCUCUGGGCUCACCUGCAAGCUGGUGGUAGGAGUCUUCAGGCUAACCACCUGAGGUUGCCUGGGGUCCCAGCCUCCUGCCACUUCCCCUAGCAAGUACUGGGGCCCAACAGGCUAGACUGACAACUCCUGGGGACCAAGGCAAGCACCGUCGGGGAGGAACUGAGGGCCCAGGGAGGAGCAACCUCCAGCCUGCGAAGUAAAACUUGCAUGGGGAGUCACCCAGGUACCGAUGCAGCCUCCCUGACUCUGAUGAGUAUGGCGGAUACCUGUACCAACUAAAAAUGUGAGUGGGCUUUGAUUCAAGAGGGAGGGACUCCAUUCCCCAAAGAGCUGUGUAGAGAGGUAGGGUCUGUGGAUGGGCAGGAGCUGGCAGAACCCUGGAUCCCACACAUUGCAAGGUGGAAGGAAAGGCCAGGCCUCUGACGCUGCUGCCCACCUGACUACUCCCAGGGCCGUGUCCUCCAUCCUGGGCCUCUGGCUACACCAUUCCCGUGAGGAUUUUCACCAGCCCCCAGAAUUUCCCUGCCUGAAGACGCUAUUGGCUUACUUAGAGCUCAGCAUGCCUGGCUCAGACCUAGAGCACCGUGCCCACCUCCUUCUGGCACAGCUGGAGCACCCGGAGCCCACUGAGGUAGAGAGUGAUGCUACAGCACAGGCUCCAAAACAAGCUCUGGAAACACCUUGAGACCCAGAGCCACCUACACCUCUGCUGCCCGCUACAGCUCCAGAGCCACAGCAAGCUCAAGCCACAGCUCUCAUUUGAGUUCAAAGGCGAAUAUGCCAGCUCCAGUUCCACAACCAGGGUAUGCUCAUGCCCUAGCUCUCAUUUAAUCUCAAAAGGGAGAAAAAGCAUCUACACAGGCUCCAAUUCCUGAUCCAGAGAAGGUUCCAGCAACAGCUCUCCUCCCAUCUUCAGAGCCUGAAUCGUCACAGAAACCUGUCCUAGUGCUUCCUCUACAACUUCAGCCAGUUUCCUCAACAGCCUCGGUCCAGAGCUGAAGCCACCUCAGUGAGGGCACUGCCCCUGGCUCUGGAGCCCAUCGUGCUUUGGCACCAGCUGUGGCCCCGGAGUGUAUCCAGCUCCAGUUCUGGAUUAGAGACCACAGCAGACCCAGUUCUUCUCGUUACUCAGGUGCUGGAGCCAGUUCCUCCCUUAAGAUCCCUGGAGCUGCUGCCAGCUCAGCCACUAGCACAAGCACAUGCAGAGCCUUCAGGGCCCAAUUAGGAGCUGCCCCAGUGCCUACAGCAGCACUGGAGCCUUCCUUCCCCUCCCCUCUAAUUCCAUUUUCUUCAACAUUUGGGGGUUUUAUUCCAGAUACUAAAUUGUUUAUUCUAUGAUAUAAAGUUCACUUAAAAUUUAAUUCUUUGAUUAUUUUAAAUUGUACAUGUAAGUGGCACUAAGUACAUUCACAAUGUUACGUAACCCCCUCUAAUGUCUAUUCCAGAACAUCUCAUCAAAGGGAGAUGCUGUAUGUAUUAGUCACUCCUCAUUCCCCUCACCUUCAGCGCUGGGGCGCCCCAAUAUUCCUUAUAUCUCUGGAUUUAUCAAUCCCUGAUUUUUCGUAUCAAUAACACGUAACUUGUGGCCUGUUGUGUCCGGCCAGGUAGGUAUGAGGAGACUGAUUAAAGUUUGAUUCUGGGUUACAUAAAAAAUGUUAAAAAUGUAAGGUGGCCACUGAGUUAAGAGGCAUGACUUUGGAUGUGCUUGAUCCAGGGGAAUUUCUGAGUGGAGCUUGUGUGAGGAGAAAGGGUUUUAACAAAACAUAGCAGGUGCUCAAGGAAGCUUCAGGAAAGUCAGUCUCAGUCCAGGGAGCUCAGGACUGAGCACAGGCCCCACCCACCCCUCAGGCUCCUCCAGCAGUGAUCCACCGCCCACCCCUGGUCCAGCCCCCAGGGCUGGCAUCCCUCCCAUUCAGCUUCUGCACAGGGAGGGGCUCUGUCUUUUCCCCAAAACCACAAAUGGGUGGGGGCAUUAUGGGCCACCUUGUCCAUCAAAGUCAAGUCAGGGGCCCUGUUUGGGAAAAGCAUCUUAGGAACUUGUUUGGAAACAAGCAAUUUCUUUUUUAGUUAAUUAAUUAAUUUAUUUAUCUUUGCGUUGGGUCUUCGUUGUUCCGCACGGGCUUUCUCUAGUUGCAGCGAGCGGGGCUACUCUUCGUUGCAGUGCACGGGCUUCUCAUUGCGGUGGCUUCUCUUGUUGCGGAGCAUAGGCUCUAGGUGCACGGGCUUCAGUAGUUGUGGCACGCGGGCUCAGUAGUUGUGGCUCGCGGGCUUAGUUGCUCCGCGGCAUGUGAGAUCUUCCCGGACCAGGGCUCAAACCCCUGUCCCCUGCGUUGGCAGGUGGAUUCUUAACCACUGUGCCACCAGGGAAGUCCACAGCGAUUUUCAGAAGGUGGCUGCUCUAAUCUACAGACCCUAGACUUCAGCUGCAACGCUGAACGCUACUCACUUCAGACUGGCCCCCCUCACAAUCCGAAUUGGCUCUGGCCAAUCUACCCUGUUACUCUAUGUCCUGAAUGCUGUGGGUUUUGUAUACUGACAGACUCCUCGGUUUGUCUCAAGUUGGAAGUCAAGGAGAGAUUCUGUUAGCAACAAAGGACCUGUGUUCAGUCCUGAAUGGCGGGUUUUUUCUCCAAUUCCAGGGCUUGUCCCAAAACUGUGCUCCUAAGUGUAUAGUUAUACCACCCCUUAGAUUGUCUAAUUGUUGAGUAUAUUGUACAGUGUUAAAUACAUUGCACCCUUAAAGCUGUCUUAUCCAUUUAUCUUUCAAAAAUCUGAACAUAUGGCCAGCAUAUACCUGAGCUCAUUUUUGGUGAAAUUUAAAUGUCAGUAAAAUAGUAUACCCAUUAAAAAAAAAAGUAAAGUCAGGGGGAGUCCCACGGUCUGAGUUAUUGAGUGAGUCCAUGGUCAGCGACCUCUCUUUUCUCUGCCCAGAGAUGGAGCCCCCCUAAAGCAGAGAACAAAAGUCCUCACAGGGAGGAAAUUCUAAGCUCUCCUUUGAGGAGGAAAGACUGAAGCCCCUGAUUAAACUUGGAGUAGAUGAAGCAGAGAUCAGAGGACCAAAGGGAAGGGCUGCCUGGGCUGAGGCUCUACUAUAAUGGUUAGGAGCACAGGCUCUGUGUUGGUUUGCAGGAAGUGGCCGGGAAUCAUCCCAUCAAAGUCUCCAAAUUCACCUCCAGAGAACAUCUCCACUAAAGAACCCAAAAUAUCACUUGGUCACCUGGAGUUUGUGGAAGCUUGAGCUGCUGUCUAGCUCGUGAGCAAGGAGAAGGGUUGAGGACGGGGUGUCCCACAGAGUUCAGGCUAGUGCAGGUUGUCUGCCUUAGCAAGGAAGGCCCACUAUCAUUGGAUGCCCAUAUUUCCCUAAUAUAGCAGAAAAACCAGAAUACCACAGGCACAGGCAAGAGGGAGAUUUCUUCCUUUCUCAUGAAUGUAAACUGUUCAUACUGACCCUCAACUGCACACCUUGGUAGCCAGCCCAUCUUUUUCUGCCCCAGCAUUUUUAGCUGGUGUCCAACCUCAAGGCUGCCUGUCUUUCGGUACAAAGUGGCUGCUGGAGCACCAGCCUUGACCAGCCACCAAGUCUUCAUUUCUGAGGCAGGAGGCAGGAAAAUGAAGGGCGAAAGGGCCAAUCCAGCUGUGUCUGCUCUAUCUAAAGAGCCUCCCACAAGUCCACAUAAUCCUUUUGCUCACUUCUAAUCUGCCUGAAGUUCAUCUGGCUGCUUUCAGCUGCAAGAGAGGUUAGGAACUCGACCGUUGAGUUUGGCCAAUUUCCGCCCUCAAUUAGACUAUUUUUCUCUUCUUAAGGAAAAUAUAAUGAAAACCACACGGUGACGGCCAGGGCUUUUUCCCUACCAUAAACACCAGGAUGAAAGGGAAGGAGAUGGAAUGAUUUUCAGAUGAAUUAGACAUUCAUUUCCCCACCAUGGACUCUUUCCCUGGUGUCUUUUUAUUCCCAGAGAAAUUAGAAACAUGGUUCCUUACCAGGAUAUUUGAGUGGGAAAGAUUCUCUCAAUUCCUAGGCAGGUGACUGGAUCCACUAAGUAGCUUCUUUCUGCCUGUAUCUUGUAAGUAGCUCUGAGAACACCUUCUGUUCUCUAAUGAGGUGGGCAGAAUAGGAGGGUGGUGGAGGCUUUUGGGCAAGUGUUCCAAAGCUUGCAUCAAAAUUGAGUUGCUGGGACUUCCCUCAUGGCACAGUGGUUAAGAAUCUACCUGCCAAUGCAGGGGACACAGGUUCAAGCCCCAGUCUGGGAAGAUCCCACAUACCACAGAGCAACUAAGCCCAUGAGCCACAACUACUGAACCCAUGAGCCACAACUACUGAACCUGUGUGUCACAACUACUGAAGCCUGCAUGCCUAGAGCCCAUGCUCCGCAACAAGAGAAGCCACUGCAAUGAGAAGCCCAUGCACCGCAAUGAAGAGUAGCCCCUGCUCGCUGCAACUAGAGAAAAGCCCGCACACAGCAAAGACCCAAGGCAGCCAAAAAUAAAUAAAUAAUAAAUUUUUUUAAAAAAUUGAAUUGCUGUCUUCAAGGAAUACACUGAUUGGAAACAAGCCUUUUGACAUUAAGGACACUUGCACUGGGACUUCCCUGGUGUCACAGUGUUAAGAAUCCACCUGCCAAUGCAGGGGACACAGGUUCUAUCCCUGGUCCGGGAAGAUCCCACAUGCCAUGGAACAACCAAGCCCGUGCACCACAACUACUGAGCCUGCUCUCUAGAGCCCACGGGCCACAACUACUGAAGCCCACGAGCCACAACUACUGAAGCCUGUGCUCCUAGAGCCCGUGCUCCACAACAGGAGAAGCUACCGCUAUGAGAGGCCUGCACAUCACAACAAAGAGUGGCCCUCGCUCACUGCAACUAGAGAAAGCCAUGCACAGCCAAAAAUAAAUAAAUAAAUAAAUUUAUUUUAAAAAAAGACUUGCACUAUCAUGGAGAGUAUUAAUAGUAAAAAUAAUACACACCAUAUAAAACUCCGUGUGGUCAAAUGUAUUAUUGAUUUAAGAUUGAUGGAAGAGAAAGAUCAUUUUAAAGUUUUUUGAUAUCAAUAUUUGACUCAGAUCAGUUGACCAAGUACAAAUAAUGAUCACUAAAGAAAUCUUACAACGAGAGCAUUUAUAGUCAGUCAUUAAGAUGUGAUGUGAACAAAAAACCUGUCAUUUAUUUUUUUAAAAAUUGAUCCCAACUAAAACACUUUUAGUUAAUUGAAAAUAAACAUAGAUAAACUAUAAAUAAUUUACUGUGCUGUAUUCCCAAAACAGGAUCAAAACAAUUAAAAUGUCUGUUUGAAAUUUUCCCUGUAAAAUACUUUUUCAAUGCUGUUUUUCAAAUACUGUUAUAAUUCUGAUUGCAACGUUUAUUAAGGUCAGAAUAAAAAAUUCUGAGGAAUCGAAGUUCUCUGAGGUCAAAUGACUGGGUCAGAAGAGCAGGGUUAAUUUAGAGGAUGAAACUAGAAAGGCAACAUUGAGUUUUGUCAUUUUUUGCUUUAUUUUAUUAUUUUUUAAACAUAUUUAUUUACUUAUUUAUGGCUGCAUUGGGUCUUCAUUGCUGCGCGCAGGCUUUCUCUAGUUGCUGUGAUCAGGAGCCACUCGUCAUUGUGCUGUGCAGGCCUCUCAUUGCGGUGGCUUCUCAUGUUGCGAGGCACAGGCUCUAGGUGUGCAGGCUUCAGUCGUGUGGUUCGCGGGCUCAGUAGUUGUGGCUCGCGGGCUCAGUAGUUGUGGCUCACGGGCCCGGUGGCUCUGUGGCAUGUGGGAUCUUCCAGACCAGGGAUCGAACCCAUGUCCCCUGCAUUGGCAGGCGGACUCCUAACCCCUGCGCCACCAGGGAAGUCCCUGUCAUUUUUUUUUUUAAUGUAAGUUUAUUUAUUUAUUUAUGGCUGUGUUGGGUCUUUGUUGCUGGGCAGGCUUUCCCCAGUUGAGGCGAGCAGGGGCCACUCUUCACUGUGGUGUGCGGGCCUCUCAUGGCCGUGGCCUCUCUUGUUGUGGAGCACGGGCUCUAGGCCUGCGGGCUUCAGCAGCCGUGGCACACAGGCUCAGCAGUUGUGGCUCACAGGCUCUAGAGCGCAGGCUCAGUAGUUGUGGCACACAGGCCCGGUGGCUCUGCGGCAUGUGGGAUCUUCCAGACCAGGGAUCGAACCCAUGUCCCCUGCAUUGGCAGGCAGACUCCUAACCACUGUGCCACCAGGGAAAUCCUGUCCCCGUCAUUUUAAAUGUACUUGAUUGAUGCCUAUUUAGGCUGAUGCUAUGAUGAAAAUGUUUGUGUAUAUAUUAGUUUACGCUGAAUUACCAAACAACUCCCAAAAUUUCAGCAGCACAUCACUCCACAUUUCACACAUCACAGUUCACACUGGGGAGACUGCACUCCUUCACGUGGUCAAUCAGGAACCCAGAGUCUUCCAUCCUGGGGCUCCUCCAUCCCUAGGACGUCAUCCCCAUCUGUAUCCAUCAGCAGAAGGGGCAAGAACAUGGAGAAAUGCAUGUGGGAGGUGAUAAUGGGCCAGGUCUGGAAGGACACACAUCAGUUCCUCUCCUGCUCCAUUGGCAAGGACAUGGUCCUAUGGCUACAAAGGAGGGUGGAACAUCUUCCAGCUGUGCACCCCAAGGAGGGGAAUGGAUUUUCAUGGACAAUUCACAUUGUCAGCAACAGCAAGUAAUUCACUGAGAUUUAUUGUGUUUUCAAAUUAUUGUUGAGCAUUUACCAUAUGCAAAGCACUGUGCUGCAAUUGGCCUGAGAAUUGAUUGAACAUCAUCUGGUCUGAGAGAAGCUCUGAAUCCACAGGAGAAAUGACAUGCAAUUGAAGGCCUGCCAUCCAAGGAGAAAAGGAUAAAGAGAAUGUUCUCUGGAAGUUCUGGGAAUGAUUCUAGAUUUGGAAGCUGCCUGGAGAUGAUAGGAUUUGGACUCCACUUGCAGAGAAGAACAAGAUACGGUUGUGGAGGAAGCUGGAAGCAGGAGCUAUAGAUGCAGGUCCUUUAAGUACAAGGUAUCAUAAAGAAUAUCAUGCAGCCACUAAGUGCGUAUUUUCUAAAACUUUAAAUGGACGGAAUAAUUAUUCAUAUUAAGUGGAAAAGUGACCAGUAAUAUAAGGAAUUCCUUUUCUUUUUAACUCUAUAUAAGUUUGGAUGAAUUUAUACAGAUACACCGAGUGACAGUUUCCAGUUUUUUAAAACGUUUUAUUGUUAAUCUAAACAGAAAAGCGCCAUAAACGUCUUUGGUUGGAUAGACUAAUUUCUCCUCACCAGACACGCAGCGCUGGGAUGCAGACAAGUGAAGGCCAGCACGUUCCCACCUUCUCCCUGCAGGUCCCAUGAGGCAGCGACCUCCUCUCUAUUCUCUGCUGUGGACCCUGGGCCUGACGCAGGGGCUCAGUCAACACUCUCUGAAAUACUGCACCUGGGAAGUGGCCUAUUGUGUCGUAGUCAAGACAAUGACUUUCACUAGAAGGCUCCCCCAGAACUUUGAGUCUUACAGAAUGUGGUUUGCUCUAACAACAAGACUGUGAAUUUUGAUGUUGGUUUCUUUUGCUGAUGGAAUCUUGGAGCCCUGCAGCAGUCAUGCCAUAUCUCAUACGGCCACCAGAGGGCAGUGUGCUUAUGACAAACACACUGCUCCCAUUCAAAAGGGGUCCUUUCCAAGUUAGCCUUCAUCAGAACAUGUUUUAUAAAGUUACAGGAUUUCUUUAAAGUAUAUUCAUUUUCUUUUCUUCUUUAAACUCAUUUUGAAGUUAAUGAAAAUCCACUGCAAAUAACAAAUGUAAGGUGACCAGCUGACUGGGAGUUGUCCCUUACCACGCGUAAAGACGUAAAAUUAUAUGUCCAACCCCCCAUCUCUGUCCUUUGUUUCUUCCUCUCUCCCUCCAUCCUCUAUAAACAUCUAUCUGUGUAAAACAUCUUUUGACAAUCUAUGUAUCGUAUUAGAGAUAUUUUUCAGUCA